NUCUACGGCCAUACCACCCUGAAUGCGCCCGAUCUCGUCUAAUCUUUGAAGCUUAAGCAAGGUCGGGCCUGGUUAGUACUUGGAUGGGAAAAUGCCUGGGAAGAAUGGGAUGGUAGGCU
rnacentral:rRNA from 1 species